GUCAAGCAGUAACAUCACCUGGCUGCAAGGCUGCAUGUAACAUCAUGAAGUUUUCCUGACAGCAGGCAGUGCCAAAGAAGGAGUUUCACUUGCUAAAGCUCUGGCUUGUGUGUACCUCAGAUGCACAUUCUUACCUCCUAAAUCCAGGUUGAAACCCUCGCCCCCACCACUGUCUCAUUCAUGCCCAGCAGCACCAGCAGAGCUUGGGCCAGGCUGGAUCGCAGGGGGCAGCAGCAGCAAAAGCCACGCGAACCAUGUCAGGAGAGCCCCACAGGGAAUUUGUAAUUUUUACACAGAGAAUACCAGGACCCUGCUUGUCUAAAAUCCCCUCAGAAUAGGGGUUUUACUAAAAAAAGAAAAAAUGUUUCUCCAGCCAUUGAUGCAGAACAACAUGAAUUGCACAUACAGUGGGGCCCUGCAAGAAGUCUCCAAAUGGAAAAAAAGUUGGAAAGAGUCUGCCAGGCUUGAAUACAAAUGCUAUGAAAAUAGAUCACGCCUUACGGACUAUAUUUAGGAGGGACAAUAACAAUUUUUUCUAACAACUUGCCAGCUGAAGUCUACAGGCACUAACAAUAAUGGACCAGGGAGACUUUCUAGUUUGUGUCAAUUUCCCUGAAGUUCUUGCAACUCCUUUGCAAGUUAGGGAAACUCCACUGUAUAAAUAAAGAUAAUAUUUCUGGUUCUCCAA